rnacentral:rRNA from 1 species
UGUUGGGUUAUACAAACAAUCUAACCUGCCCACUGGUUAAAUUCUAAAGGGCCGCGGUAUUUUGACCGUGCGAAGGUAGCAUAGUCAAUAGUCUCUUAAUUGGAGGCUGGAAUGAACGGUUGCACGAGAAGUAAGCUGUCUCUUUUUUAAAAAUGAAUUUUACUUUUAAGUGAAAAGGCUUAAAUAAACUGAAGGGACGAUAAGACCCUAUAAAACUUUACAGUUUGCUUUUGUCUUAUAAAUUUGUGGUUUAACUUGAGUGAAAAGUAUUAUUGUUGGGUUGGGGCGACUAUUAUAUAAUUUUUUAUAACUGUAAUUAAAGGUAAUAAAUUUAUUUAGUUAAUUGAUCCUUUAAUAAAGAUUAAAAGAUUAAGUUACUUUAGGGAUAACAGCGUGAUUUUUUCUGAGAGUUCUUAUCGAUGAAAUUAGUUGCGACCUCGAUGUUGAAUUAAAGUGUCUAUUAAGUGUAGCAGCUUAAUUAGUUGG